GAUGAAGAACGUAGCGAAAUGCGAUAAUUAAUGUGAAUUGCAGAAUUCCGUGAAUCAUCGAAUCUUUGAACGCACAUUGCGCCCCCUGGCAUUCCGGGGGGCAUGCCUGUCCGAGCGUCAUUUCUGCCCUCCAGCCCGGCUGGGUGUUGGGCGCUGUCCCCCCGGGGACACGCCCCAAAGGCAGUGGCGGCGCCGCGUCGGGUCCUCGAGCGUAUGGGGCUUUGUCACCCGCUCGGGACGGACUCGUCGGCGCUGGUCUUCCUCCAGGCGACCCUUCGGGGCUCGUCUUCCUUCGGUUGACCUCGGAUCAGGUAGGGUUACCCGCUGAACUUAAGCAUAUCAAUAAGCGGAGGA
rnacentral:misc_RNA from 1 species